UACUACCCAGUACUAACACUAGCGGUCAGUCUUAAGUGUCUAACAAUUGUUCUUCUCUACAAUUCUUUACUAUGAUUAUAAUCCAGCCCAAUAAGUCCCAUUCUUAGUGAUUCGUUAACGAUGUAACUGGUGCAGCGUCAAUAAACCCCUGUGUUUCUCUGUGAGCUAACACUUGUUAGAUUAAUCAAAGGCUUCUCCAUGGUGAGUUCUCCAUAAGGCUUGUCUCGCUGAACUGACUCGAGUCUGUACAGUCGGGGUGCUGUGGUAGCUCGCUCUUUCUGCACCUUAGGCAGCAAUAUGCAGUGUGACCUCUGCCAUCGGGCACUCCAAUCGCUAACCGUGCAAACUGACAUAAAGGCCCUAGUGGCUGUACCAGUUGGUGGGUGACACUUUUCAGUGCGGCCCAGCUGUGUUAGAGGUGUGACUGUUGAGCAGUCGAGGUGGGGAGGGCAGACAGCCCAGCGCUCUUGGCUGCGUGCUCAGGGAAGCGCCUUGUCUGUGGUUUCCACCUGGGUAGCCUUAAAUAGUCAACAAGUGUAGUAAAAGGGAUGCACUUUUCUCCCCUUUGUAGCCACUAGAGGCACCAGAUGUAAGGUAGCAUUCCCUAUCCUUCAAAGGUUGGGCCUAUCUAUCUGUCAGUCUAUCUGUCUCUCUAGCACGACUAACAUGCACAUUAAAGCAAUGCACAAAAAAGAGUCUAGAGGCUCGGCAGCGGUGGUCUGGUUUGGCGCCGACUGUGAUACAAGAGUCUCUAGCAUGACGAACAUGCAGAUUCAAGCAAUGCACAAAAAAGAUGCUAGAGGCUUGGCUGCGGCUCGGCCGCGGUUAGUUGCUAGCAAGACUAACCUGCAGAUUAAAGCAAUGCACAAAAAAGUGCUAGAGGCUCGGCUGUGGUGGUCCGGUUUGGCGCUGACGGUGAUACAAGAGUCUCUAGCAUGAUGACCAUGCAGAUUAAAGCAAUGCACAAAAAAUAUGCUAGAGGCUCGGCCGCAGUUAGUUGCUAGCAUGACUAACAUGCAGAUUAAAGCAAUGCACAAAAAAGAUGCUAGUUAGUUGCUAGCACGACAAACAUGCAGAUUAAAGCAAUGCACAAAAAAGAUGCUAGAGGCUCAGCCGCGGUACUCCAUGACAGCGGCCACGGUUACAGGAGUCUCUAGCAUGACUUACAUGCAGAUUAAAACAAUGCGCGAAAAAUACGCUAGAGGCUCGGCCGUGGUGUUCCAGGAUGGUGCCCACGAUGACGUGAGUCUCUAGCAUGACUGACAUACUGACAAAAAAGAUCUGUGAAGAAGACGCUACAGGCUCAGCCGUGGUACUCCAUCAUGGCGACAAGGGUGACAUGAGGCUCUAGCACACCAUAAAGACUUAAAAGAUCUGCGAAGAAGACGCUACAGGCUCGGCCGUGGUACUCCAUGACGGCGAUCACAGUGACGUGAGUCUAUAGCAUGACUGACAUACUGACUAAAAAGAUCUGCGAAGACGAUGCUACAGACUCGACCGUGGUACUCCAUGACGGCGACCACGGUGAACUGAGUCUCUAGCAUGACUAAAAGAUCUACGAAGAAGAUAGUACAGACUCGGCCAGCAAGACAUACUGACUAAAAGGAUCUGCAAAGGCUCGGCCGUUGUACUCCAUGACGGUGGCCACGGUGACGUGAGACUCUAGCAUGACUGACAUACAGACUUGAAGAUCUGCAGAUAGACGCUACAGGAUCGACAGUGGGUGACCACAGCUGUUGGAGCCUCUGGUGCAACAAUAAUAAACGGUAUGUGGAAAAUCUGUCUAUCCCUCUGUCUGUCUGUCCAUCUGGCUAUGUAUCUGUCUAUCCAUCUGGCUAUCUAUCUGUCUAUCCAUCUGUCCAUCUAUCUAUAUGUCUAUCUGUCUUUUCAUCCUUCCGCCGGUCCAUCCAUCUGUUUUUCUGCCUUUCCGUCUGUCUGUUUGUCUUUCUGUCUGUCCGUCUGUCUAUCUUUCCGUCUGUCCAUCUAUCUAUCUAUCUAUCUAUCUAUCUAUCUAUCUAUCUAUCUGUCUGUCUGUCUGUCUGUCUGUCUGUCUGUCUGUCUGUCUGUCUGUCUGUCUUUUCGUCCGUCCGUCAGUCCAUCCGUCUUUCCGUCUGUCUGUCUUUCUGUCCAUCUAUGAAUCGGUCUGUCUGUGUGUUUGUCUGUCUCUCCAUCUGUCCGUCAGUCCAUCCGUGUUUCUGUCUUUCCGUCUGUCUCUCCGUCCGUCUGUCAGUCCAUCCGUGUUUCUGUCUUGCCUGUGUCUUUCUGUCCGUCUGUCUGUCUUGUUGUCCGUCCGUCCGUCCAUCCAUCUUUCUGUCUGUCUGUCUUUCCGUCCAUCUAUUUAUCAGUCUGUCUGUCUGUUUGUCUGGCUCUCCAUCCGUCCGUCAGUCCAUUCGUGUUUCUGUCUGUCUGCCUGUCUGUCGGUCUUUCUGUCUGUCUGUCUAUUCCAGUAUCCAAACCAGUCAUCGACAGCGAUGUGAGGACAUCAACAGAAAAUAAAAAGAAGAAAACAAGAAGUAAAGCACACUUAAUACGAAUCAAACAACUGCUCGACUGAGGAGUUGAAGAAAAAAAGACAGCUGCACAAUCCUAAAACUGUGAAGGCAGCCUGUCUGCUACAUAACUCGGAGGCACUAUCACCAAGAGCAAAGAUUAAGUUCACCACAUAAUAAGAAGGUCACCUCAUUUUUAUUGGGAGCACUGGCUACAUUGAAGGCCUUGAUAAAAAUGACUUUGUGGCCUGCAAGACAUUACCAGAGCUAACCGGUGUGGCCCUAGCACGGAGUCACCAGAGGAAGAGGGUAAGAAAAAUUAGAAUUAGUUUCUGUUUAAUUUAUUUCUGCAUAAGUAUAAACUGUACUGA